rnacentral:lncRNA from 1 species
GUGUUAGUCUGCCUUGCAUUUCUUAAAAUCCCAGGGAUGGUCAGUUUAAAAAGAGAACAGUUUUACUUUGGCUCACGGUGGCUUGGCUCGUUGCGUCGCCUAGGACUGUGGUGAGGUAGGUAUCCCGGUGAUAGCAGGUGACCCAGGAAGCACCGGUGCAUAACGGAGGGGGAAGGGGAAGGGCAGGGCCCCACAGCCCCGCAAGCGCAAGCGCAUCUUCCGAGUCCUAACCGCCUCUCACAGUGCCGCAGGCCUGGGCCUGGGGACCCUCAGCUCCACAUGGCAGCGCUGCGAGAGGAGCUCAGACAGCACAGCUUCUGGAGGCAGGUCCUGCCCGCCUCGCUGAGAUCACCCAGUGUCUCUGCUACUUGGUGGCCCUGUGACCUUGGUACAAUGACCUACUUACCUGCUCCCAGGCAAUGCUAACCCUGUCUAAAGUGAUGCCCAGGAUUCAGGCAGCCAUGACAAGGUCCCCAGAUCCAGCCCAAAGUGAUGUCUUCUGUGACAACUUUAUGAAUGCCCUCCUUGCACCUCUCCAUAUAAAACCCACCCGUUGAGAAGAAUAAAAAAGCCUUAACCCA